rnacentral:lncRNA from 12 species
UGUCCUAGCCAUGCUUUAUUUCACAUCUCCUUUCAAACUGCUUACCAUAAAUUGUAGGACUUGUGCACUUUGUUUUCAUGUGGUGAAGACUCAGCCUGACAUAAAAGGAGGUCUGGUCUCUGCCCCGGCUCCUGUGCCAUGGUUCCACCACCCCCAAGUGCUGUUGCACACUCUGAAGUCACCAUGGAAUACCAAACCAUCACAACACUGGGAGCCUGUGACAUAUCUGCAACAUGCCAUCUUCCUGUAAUGUCGCCUCCUCUUGGGUGAGUACAAUGAUGCCUGACUCAGCGUAGGGGUGCAAUAUGUGGCUGACUCAGAACCCUGUAUGUGUGCAUUGAGCUGCUUCCCAUUCUCAUAAUUAAUGCUGCCAGAAGCAUUAAUUGCACAUAUGCUUUGUAUACCUUAAAAAUAUAUAUAUAUGUUUAAUCCAGAUACCCCUGAUACGUGAAUGUGCUGCACAUACUUAUAUAAGUAUCUGGGUAUGUACAGACAUACGUGCAAUAUAACUUGCACAUGUUUCUUUGUAUACCCACAGGGAAUAAUCCUCUGGGAUGAAUUACCAGCAAUGGAAUUGCCAAAUCGAAGAGAAUGUGGGCACAGUAGAAAUGGUAAUUAGUAGACAUUGUUCAAUUUCCUUUGGAAAAUCAGGGAAGUUAACAUACCCAACACCAGCAGAGGAGAGCGUGACGUUCCCACACGGCCUCCCCCUCAUGGUGCGGAGACAACAGAAUUCCC